rnacentral:lncRNA from 1 species
UAGCCUCCCGAGCUCGGUCUCCAGCCUCCCCUCGCCGAUCCCAUCUAUAGGCGCAGCUACUCCUCGACAUCUGGCGUCCUCCACCGUCAGACCCCGCCAUGAGCACCACCCUCCUCCCCACCCGCGACGCCGCCGACCAACUCAGUGGGUAGCCGCUGCAGCAUCCGCUCGGAUCUGUCUGCUCGGUGGAGAUUCAUGGCAGGAGGUCGAGGAGAGGGAGGAGGCGGCUGCAUCGGGGGAGGUCGCCGUGCUAAUCCUGGUGGUGGUGCUACGGCCUGCUGCGGCCCCUCCUUCCCCGGCAUCGCGGACUACCACAUCAAAGUGGUGUGGAGCCGAAGCAGCAACAAUGCCGUUUCCUCCCAUUUUUUAGCAAUACGAUUGAAGCAGCCGCCGGAGUUCGUGGGAGGGGACCUGCAAGUAGGAGGACGCCUCCCUCCGGAUCCGUUGAUCCAGAUGGCUGGGAGUGCAGGAGAAGGGCACGGCGGACGGAUCUGUCAUGGCUGGGGGUGGAGGACGCGGCGGUGUGCAUGCAUCGUUGUGAACGGGAAGAAGGGAGCAUGGGGCAGAUUUGAGGAGCGGGAAGUAUAGGCGACCGUGGGUGGCUUCGUUGUUGAGGAGAAGGGCGCAGCGGCCGGAUUUGUCGGGCUGGGUUUGGAGGACGGCGAGGCAGCGUACUCUGUGGCCGGAUGCUGCUGCAUGUUCAUCCGUCUGGCUGGAGUUGGCUGUUUGAGCUCGUCAGUUGGCUGUGUUCACUCUUGUCCGUGGAGUUUAGGAGCAAGCAUAAUAGUGGAUGUAAUCAGUGGUACACUUCAAGGACAAACAAAAUGAUGUAUUCAUCCAUCGGAGAGUUUUGUUGCAUAGCUAGCUUAGGUCUUGUAACCUGUGAUCCCAGUGGCUCGGUAUUGGAUCAAAGCAGCGCGAAAAUGUUUCUGCAGUUACUCUGGUUGGGUGAGUACUCAUUUUGGCUCAUUGGUAGAUGGUACUUCCUCCAUCCAUGAUUUUUGACAUUAGUAUAGUGUCAAAAAAGUCUUAUAUUAUAGUAGCACACACGCGACCGUAGAGUUGCACAUUCUCG